UCCAAGAUGUAGAACAAUUACUAGCCUUUUAGGGUCACUGUUUACAGAAGGGGAGUGGGGGAAUGGGUACAGAAAAAAUUAUAGUGUUGAUAAAUGUUUUAAUAGCGGUGUAAAAAGGGGGAAGCACCGUCGAAAUGUCUAAGGGACAACUUCAGAGAAGCUGUGGCACCUGAAUAGAAGUUUGCCAGUUUCCCUAGAGCAGCAUGAGUCAACGUGUGUUCCUUGGACCACUGCCAGUUUGCUUAUGUCUCAUUUACAAGGAAAUGAGCACAGAAAUUAAGACGAUACUUUUGGAAAUCACCACUGAAUUUGACAGUUCAGUCCUUUGGCCUAAGGAGAUUCUCUAAGACCAACAGAUGGAGAAGGAAAGAACCUGGACCUGGUUUACACAUGGCUUGGUACAGGAUUCUUUCCAGAGAUGGUAGCUGGAUAUCAUCUUGAACAGGACUCUGUGAUGAAAUGAACUUGUUCUUUCCCCCUUAGGGAGGAAGUGAAGGAAUGAUCUACUCACAAAAAUUGGUGCUUCUAUUGCAGUAUUAUGGGUGAAUAUAAUGGGAAGCAUGAAGGAAAAUGAGUGGUGAAAAAGAUGCAUUUUAUCAAACAUUGUACUCUAAUGCUCUUGGCCUCAUCAGCCUCAGGACCAGUAGC